UACGAAGGGGGCUAGCGUUGCUCGGAAUCACUGGGCGUAAAGGGUGCGUAGGCGGGUCUUUAAGUCAGGGGUGAAAUCCUGGAGCUCAACUCCAGAACUGCCUUUGAUACUGAAGAUCUUGAGUUCGGGAGAGGUGAGUGGAACUCCGAGUGUAGAGGUGAAAUUCGUAGAUAUUCGGAAGAACACCAGUGGCGAAGGCGGCUCACUGGCCCGGUACUGACGCUGAGGUGCGAAAGCGUGGGGAGCAAACAGG
rnacentral:rRNA from 1 species